GUCACAUAUGUGGGUGCUAAUAAGCACAGCAAGCAGACAAGCUGUUGAAGGAGUCAUUGCCUUUCCCCCACCACAGAAAUAGACUUUGGAUUACAAGGCCCUGCACCUUUCCUGGGUGGUCUUCACGAACCCAGCUGGGAUGCCAUGAAGACAAGCCUCCCUUGGCUCAGGAAAGGCCCAAACAUCCUUCACCAUUACAGUGAAAACAAAAGUCUGCCCAAUCCACACUCAGAUGGAGUAGUAGACAUCAGGCUCAGAGCAGCAAAAACAGCAUCUCUUUACCCAGACCCCUGAUAAAUGGUGGAAUUCAUUGCCAUGAGUUUGACAGAUACUGAAAGUUUACAUGGAUACAGAUGAGAUCAGAAAAGAGGGAGAGGAGGAAGGGAUCAAUAUUGAUACCAGAGCAUUCAAGAGGCAGAGACAAAGGUACUGGAACUACAAAGUCCAUUAACAAAAAUCAAACUGAAUUCAUGCUGAUGAGUUGCUGGAGAUGAAAAGCAGCUUCAUGAACAGCAGAGAAACUGAGCCAGAGAUUAAGAAGUUAAGUGACUUGCCCAAGGCCAUGAAGAGAAGCAAAGUGAGAAUAAGGACUAACAAGCAGGAAUUCCCAGCAUCCCUGCAGGCUACAAGGCCCUUUCCUAUCCACCGUUUCCACAAUUCCCAAAUCAGUUCCACUUGAUUCCAAUGGCUUCAGAAGAGAUAAUCUGAUAAAGAGACCUGCCUGACAGAGAAUACAUUGUGUGUGCAACAAAGAUUUCAAGAGUUAUCUUGAUUUUUAGAGCUUGGCUGCACUCUCUUUUUCAACUUUAUCUUCGAAUUAGCAUACAGGCAUCCAAAACAUCUUGAUGCAGUAAAAAAAAAAAAAAAAAAAAAAAAAAAAAAAUUAGGUUUCUCUGUUCCUGUCUAAAGCAAAGCCCUGGAAACAGCCCGGGAACAGCCAGGAUGUUUCAGCAGCCAGCGUAUCACGCCAGUCUCUGUUCUGUACUGAAGGUCUCCCCCAUCCCAGCUGCUGCUGCUGCUACACUGUGAACCGACAGGAAGGGAAGCCAGGGACUGCUCCCGUGGCUUGGAAAGACAAGGCUCGCUGUGCCACCUGCAGGGCUGGCUGGAAAAGAUGCCUCUCGUAGGGAUUAGCACCGGCUCCAAGGCGGGGGCACCGUUUCCAUCCAGGAUGGAGCAGCCUCACUGCAGCUAAUUAGUGUAAGCAAGAGCAGAACACGGACUAGAGAAUGAUCCUGUCUAGUUCCAUUGGGUGGUUUCACUCCAUUCCUGCCUGCGCUCACCUACCUGGAAAAUUUAUGUUCUGUUGAAUGAGGGAAACUGAAAAACAAACACAAAUGAGAAUCAAAUCCAAGUUAUGCAGUUUACACACAAGUUCUAUGGAACUUGUACCUGUACCUACUCCUGCCUGUAACCUAGCCGUUUCCCCCUGCACUGAGCUGCAGUUCUUCACGAGGACUCUCUCCUUUUAUUUUACUUCUGAUUUA
rnacentral:lncRNA from 1 species